rnacentral:rRNA from 1 species
AACGAACGCUGGCGGCGUGCCUAAUACAUGCAAGUCGAACGCAGUGGGGACGGGUGAGUAACACGUGGGUAACCUCCCAUCAGAGGUGAUAACACUUGGAAACAGGUGCUAAACCGAUAAUGCUGGAUGGACCCGCGGUGCAUUAACUAGUUGGUGAGGUAAAGGCUCACCAAGGCCACGAUGCAUAGCUGACCUGAGAGGGUGAUCGGCCACACUGGGACUGAGACACGGCCCAGACUCCUACGGGAGGCAGCAGUGGGGAAUAUUCGGCAAUGGACGAAAGUCUGACCGAGCAAUGCCGCGUGAGUGAAGAAGGGUUUCGGAUCGUAAAACUCUGUCGUUAGAGAAGCGGUAUCUAACCAGAAAGCCACGGCUAACUACGUGCCAGCCGCCGCGGUAAUAC